rnacentral:rRNA from 1 species
GAUGAACGCUGGCGGCGUGCCUAAUACAUGCAAGUCGAGCGAACAGACGAGGAGCUUGCUCCUCUGACGUUAGCGGCGGACGGGUGAGUAACACGUGGAUAACCUACCUAUAAGACUGGGAUAACUUCGGGAAACCGGAGCUAAUACCGGAUAAUAUAUUGAACCGCAUGGUUCAAUAGUGAAAGACGGUUUUGCUGUCACUUAUAGAUGGAUCCGCGCCGCAUUAGCUAGUUGGUAAGGUAACGGCUUACCAAGGCAACGAUGCGUAGCCGACCUGAGAGGGUGAUCGGCCACACUGGAGCUGGAACACGGUCCAGACUCCUACGGGAGGCAGCAGUAGGGAAUCUUCCGCAAUGGGCGAAAGCCUGACGGAGCAACGCCGCGUGAGUGAUGAAGGUCUUCGGAUCGUAAAACUCUGUUAUUAGGGAAGAACAAAUGUGUAAGUAACUAUGCACGUCUUGACGGUACCUAAUCAGAAAGCCACGGCUAACUACGUG